AGUCACGUGGUCUAAUGGUUAUGAUUUCUCGUUCACACCGAAGUGAGCGAUGCCUGGUUCUCCCAGCAGUUCCGAGAAGGUUCCCGGUUCGAUCCCGGGCGUGACUA